AGUGCAGGGAGGCGGAAGGUAAGUAUACUGAGCACAUGUGCUUGCUCUGACAGACUGUCGGAGCGAGCAUAUGUGCUGGGGCAGCCUGAUCGGGUGCUCCCGGUCUGCCUCUAAUACAGAGGCAGACCUGAGCACCAUUAACCCCACGAUCGCCAUGAUCUGGGGCUAAUUUUAACGCACUCGUCGUUAUGGCAAUCCUCUGAGUGACGGACCUCGCCCGUCACUUGUCGUUAAG